UACGUAGGGGGCAAGCGUUGUCCGGAAUCAUUGGGCGUAAAGCGCGUGUAGGAGGUUCGGUAAGUCGGCUGUGAAAGUCCAGGGCUCAACCCUGGGAUGCCGGUCGAUACUGCUUUGCUAGAGUGCAGAAGGGGCAAUCGGAAUUCUUGGUGUAGCGGUGAAAUGCGUAGAUAUCAAGAGGAACACCUGAGGUGAAGACGGGUUGCUGGGCUGACACUGACGCUGAGGCGCGAAAGCUAGGGGAGCAAACGGG
rnacentral:rRNA from 1 species